rnacentral:sRNA from 1 species
GCAGAACCCAGCUGAAGAACUUGAGAGUUUCCAGGCUCAAGGUCACCCACCAUCUUUGUUUCCACCAAAGGCUAAAUCCAACCAGCCCAAAUCACUCGAAGAUUUAAUUUUUGAAUCUUUACCAGAGAAUGCAUCACACAAGUUAGAGUUCACAAGAUUCCUUUGCAGUUCACCCUUGGAGGCAGAGACUCCCCCUAAUGGGCCAGAUUGUGGCUAUGGCUCCUUUCACCAGCAGUACUGGCUUGAUGGAAAGAUCAUUGCUGUGGGGGUGAUUGACAUCCUCCCAAACUGUGUAUCAUCUGUGUAUUUGUACUACGAUCCUGAUU